rnacentral:rRNA from 1 species
GGUUAAGCGACUAAGCGUACACGGUGGAUGCCCUGGCAGUCAGAGGCGAUGAAGGACGUGCUAAUCUGCGAUAAGCGUCGGUAAGGUGAUAUGAACCGUUAUAACCGGCGAUUUCCGAAUGGGGAAACCCAGUGUGUUUCGACACACUAUCAUUAACUGAAUCCAUAGGUUAAUGAGGCGAACCGGGGGAACUGAAACAUCUAAGUACCCCGAGGAAAAGAAAUCAACCGAGAUUCCCCCAGUAGCGGCGAGCGAACGGGGAGCAGCCCAGAGCCUGAAUCAGUGUGUGUGUUAGUGGAAGCGUCUGGAAAGGCGCGCGAUACAGGGUGACAGCCCCGUACACAAAAAUGCACAUGCUGUGAGCUCGAUGAGUAGGGCGGGACACGUGGUAUCCUGUCUGAAUAUGGGGGGACCAUCCUCCAAGGCUAAAUACUCCUGACUGACCGAUAGUGAACCAGUACCGUGAGGGAAAGGCGAAAAGAACCCCGGCGAGGGGAGUGAAAAAGAACCUGAAACCGUGUACGUACAAGCAGUGGGAGCACGCUUAGGCGUGUGACUGCGUACCUUUUGUAUAAUGGGUCAGCGACUUAUAUUCUGUAGCAAGGUUAACCGAAUAGGGGAGCCGAAGGGAAACCGAGUCUUAACUGGGCGUUAAGUUGCAGGGUAUAGACCCGAAACCCGGUGAUCUAGCCAUGGGCAGGUUGAAGGUUGGGUAACACUAACUGGAGGACCGAACCGACUAAUGUUGAAAAAUUAGCGGAUGACUUGUGGCUGGGGGUGAAAGGCCAAUCAAACCGGGAGAUAGCUGGUUCUCCCCGAAAGCUAUUUAGGUAGCGCCUCGUGAAUUCAUCUCCGGGGGUAGAGCACUGUUUCGGCAAGGGGGUCAUCCCGACUUACCAACCCGAUGCAAACUGCGAAUACCGGAGAAUGUUAUCACGGGAGACACACGGCGGGUGCUAACGUCCGUCGUGAAGAGGGAAACAACCCAGACCGCCAGCUAAGGUCCCAAAGUCAUGGUUAAGUGGGAAACGAUGUGGGAAGGCCCAGACAGCCAGGAUGUUGGCUUAGAAGCAGCCAUCAUUUAAAGAAAGCGUAAUAGCUCACUGGUCGAGUCGGCCUGCGCGGAAGAUGUAACGGGGCUAAACCAUGCACCGAAGCUGCGGCAGCGACGCUUAUGCGUUGUUGGGUAGGGGAGCGUUCUGUAAGCCUGUGAAGGUGUGCUGUGAGGCAUGCUGGAGGUAUCAGAAGUGCGAAUGCUGACAUAAGUAACGAUAAAGCGGGUGAAAAGCCCGCUCGCCGGAAGACCAAGGGUUCCUGUCCAACGUUAAUCGGGGCAGGGUGAGUCGACCCCUAAGGCGAGGCCGAAAGGCGUAGUCGAUGGGAAACAGGUUAAUAUUCCUGUACUUGGUGUUACUGCGAAGGGGGGACGGAGAAGGCUAUGUUGGCCGGGCGACGGUUGUCCCGGUUUAAGCGUGUAGGCUGGUUUUCCAGGCAAAUCCGGAAAAUCAAGGCUGAGGCGUGAUGACGAGGCACUACGGUGCUGAAGCAACAAAUGCCCUGCUUCCAGGAAAAGCCUCUAAGCAUCAGGUAACAUCAAAUCGUACCCCAAACCGACACAGGUGGUCAGGUAGAGAAUACCAAGGCGCUUGAGAGAACUCGGGUGAAGGAACUAGGCAAAAUGGUGCCGUAACUUCGGGAGAAGGCACGCUGAUAUGUAGGUGAGGUCCCUCGCGGAUGGAGCUGAAAUCAGUCGAAGAUACCAGCUGGCUGCAACUGUUUAUUAAAAACACAGCACUGUGCAAACACGAAAGUGGACGUAUACGGUGUGACGCCUGCCCGGUGCCGGAAGGUUAAUUGAUGGGGUCAGCGCAAGCGAAGCUCUUGAUCGAAGCCCCGGUAAACGGCGGCCGUAACUAUAACGGUCCUAAGGUAGCGAAAUUCCUUGUCGGGUAAGUUCCGACCUGCACGAAUGGCGUAAUGAUGGCCAGGCUGUCUCCACCCGAGACUCAGUGAAAUUGAACUCGCUGUGAAGAUGCAGUGUACCCGCGGCAAGACGGAAAGACCCCGUGAACCUUUACUAUAGCUUGACACUGAACAUUGAGCCUUGAUGUGUAGGAUAGGUGGGAGGCUUUGAAGUGUGGACGCCAGUCUGCAUGGAGCCGACCUUGAAAUACCACCCUUUAAUGUUUGAUGUUCUAACGUUGACCCGUAAUCCGGGUUGCGGACAGUGUCUGGUGGGUAGUUUGACUGGGGCGGUCUCCUCCUAAAGAGUAACGGAGGAGCACGAAGGUUGGCUAAUCCUGGUCGGACAUCAGGAGGUUAGUGCAAUGGCAUAAGCCAGCUUGACUGCGAGCGUGACGGCGCGAGCAGGUGCGAAAGCAGGUCAUAGUGAUCCGGUGGUUCUGAAUGGAAGGGCCAUCGCUCAACGGAUAAAAGGUACUCCGGGGAUAACAGGCUGAUACCGCCCAAGAGUUCAUAUCGACGGCGGUGUUUGGCACCUCGAUGUCGGCUCAUCACAUCCUGGGGCUGAAGUAGGUCCCAAGGGUAUGGCUGUUCGCCAUUUAAAGUGGUACGCGAGCUGGGUUUAGAACGUCGUGAGACAGUUCGGUCCCUAUCUGCCGUGGGCGCUGGAGAACUGAGGGGGGCUGCUCCUAGUACGAGAGGACCGGAGUGGACGCAUCACUGGUGUUCGGGUUGUCAUGCCAAUGGCACUGCCCGGUAGCUAAAUGCGGAAGAGAUAAGUGCUGAAAGCAUCUAAGCACGAAACUUGCCCCGAGAUGAGUUCUCCCUGACCCUUUAAGGGUCCUGAAGGAACGUUGAAGACGACGACGUUGAUAGGCCGGGUGUGUAAGCGCAGCGAUGCGUUGAGCUAACCGGUACUAAUGAACCGUGAGGCUUAACCUU